AGUGAACGCUGGCGGCAGGCCUAACACAUGCAAGUCGAACGGCAGCACAGUAAGAGUUUGCUCUUACGGGUGGCGAGUGGCGGACGGGUGAGGAAUACAUCGGAAUCUACUUUUUCGUGGGGGAUAACGUAGGGAAACUUACGCUAAUACCGCAUAUGACCUACGGGUGAAAGCAGGGGAUCUUCGGACCUUGCGCGAUUGAAUGAGCCGAUGUCGGAUUAGCUAGUUGGCGGGGUAAAGGCCCACCAAGGCGACGAUCCGUAGCUGGUCUGAGAGGAUGAUCAGCCACACUGGAACUGAGACACGGUCCAGACUCCUACGGGAGGCAGCAGUGGGGAAUAUUGGACAAUGGGCGCAAGCCUGAUCCAGCCAUACCGCGUGGGUGAAGAAGGCCUUCGGGUUGUAAAGCCCUUUUGUUGGGAAAGAAAAGCAGCAGAUUAAUACCCCGCUGUUCUGACGGUACCCAAAGAAUAAGCACCGGCUAACUUCGUG
rnacentral:rRNA from 1 species